GAUGAACGCUAGCGGCAGGCUUAACACAUGCAAGUCGAGGGGUAUAGUUCUUCGGAACUAGAGACCGGCGCACGGGUGCGUAACGCGUAUGCAGUCUACCUUUUACAGGGGGAUAGCCCAGAGAAAUUUGGAUUAAUACCCCAUAGUAUGUUAGAGUGGCAUCAUUUUAACAUUAAAGUUCCAACGGUAAAAGAUGAGCAUGCUUCCCAUUAGCUAGAUGGUAAGGUAACGGCUUACCAUGGCGACGAUGGGUAGGGGUCCUGAGAGGGAGAUCCGCCACACUGGUACUGAGACACGGACCAGACUCCUACGGGAGGCAGCAGUGAGGAAUAUUGGACAAUGGGCGCAAGCCUGAUCCAGCCAUGCCGCGUGCAGGAAGACGGUCCUAUGGAUUGUAAACUGCUUUUGUACAGGAAGAAACACUCCCUCGUGAGGGAGCUUGACGGUACUGUAAGAAUAAGGAUCGGCUAACUCCGUGCCAGCCGCCGCAGUAAAAC
rnacentral:rRNA from 1 species